rfam:Bacillus sp. FJAT-27997 Scaffold1, whole genome shotgun sequence.
UGGCGAUGUCUCCUUGCCGUUAUCAAUGGAGAUACUCGAUCAUGCUGUGGGUUUUAAACAAACCUUAGACGCUAGUCGUCAAAAGUGUGGUGUGAGGGAGGGUUGAAUGCCCU